GUAGAAGCCAUCCAAAGAGAAUACCAAUACCUCGUAAAUCAUAUCCAAGUCUCUCUCUCUCUCUCUCUCUCUCUCACUAUAGAGAGUCGCACAUAAUUAAAGGAAAUCUCCAUCGUUAUCCUGUCUGGUAGUGUCUGAUGGACUGAUGUACCAAAUAUGCCCAAAGUGAAUGUUUGGUACAUUAUAUAUGACAAAACACAAUUUGAGUUUGUAGGGAAUAUUGAUAAAAGAAGUUUCUUAGCAGAUUUUGAUUAAAAAAAAUGAAAUAUGUGGUCGAAAAUUCGACAAAGUGGAGAGUCUCACGAAAUGAGUGUUUAAAAUUAAUUGUUGACAUUGACCUCAACUUUUUCAAAAAAAAUUUACCUUUUUUUUUUUUUUUUCAAAUAAGCACUAAAACAGAAGUCGAAAUCUUGUUUGUAUUAUUUAACCGUGUCAUCUGUAAGUACAUAUGUGGGUCUUUGUUAAUCGUGUGUCAGGAUUUUGAUUAUACGCAAUUUGCUUGAAUUGAACAGGAAGUGAAAGUAGAGAAGAAUGGGACAAAAUAUGUAGUGAGGGUGACAUGCAAGAAGGGAGAAGAUUUGUUGGUGUCAAUUAUCGAAGCGUUCGAAGAAAUGAAUCUUAAUGUCCUCGAAGCCAAAGUCACCAGCAAACACUUCUUUGGGAUGGAAGCCAUUGCUGAAGCUAAAGGCCAAGACAUUGAUUCAAGAAUCUUGACUGAAACCAUUCUCAAUGUCAUUCAAAGGCCAACUGGAAAUGGGGCUAUCAAUUAAUAGUAAUAGUAUACAGUCAGAUGGUUAUUGUUUUAUGAUUUUGGAAAUGUCACUUGUUUUUUGGAGUGAAGUUGUGAUAAAGUGACACCCAAGCACACCCCGUGAGGCUACUUUCCCUAGAAAAGUGAAAAACCACCCAAAAAAGUUUGUAUUUGUG
rnacentral:lncRNA from 1 species